rnacentral:lncRNA from 1 species
CCACCCUCUGUCCCGUUUCUGGUCCGGUUCCCGGGCCUGACCUCAAACCUGAGCCCCGCCCCUGGCUCUACCCCAACUCGGGUCCGGUUCCCGGACCUCCCCUCCCCGGCCGGACCUCUCUGCUCCCCCCUCCUCCGGCUGCGUCCCUCCCUCUGCCCCCCGCCCCGGCCCAGCCUAGGCCUGGCCUCCCGCUCCCGGCCCUGAGUUGGGGAGGGGGGCAGGUUGGGGGGGGGGGGCUCUGACUUUUCCCAGUGUUUACUCACGGAAUCAAACCGAGUGAGUAUCCGGAGACAGGAGCGACCCACAAGACCAGGCAACCCAUCCAAACUUUGGGAAGUCCCACACGCUCCAUCCUUGUGAAUCUACCCGUGUGCUGAAAUUUGUGCCCGCGUCCCGGGGCCUUGUAUGUGAAAGAUGGAGUAUUAUACCCUUACCUGAGGAUGCGCUGCCCAAACGAAUGUAAAUUUUGAUCACUGAAAUCUCACAAAAUA